UCCAAAACAACCAGGAGGUUGGCUUAGAAGCAGCCAUCCUUUAAAGAAAGCGUAACAGCUCACUGGUCUAAAUAAGAGAUCCUGCGGCGAAGAUGUAACGGGGCUAAAGUGAUGCACCGAAGCUUAGGGGUGUGAUCGUUUACGAUCACGCGGUAGCGGAGCGUUCCGUAGGCCGUUGAAGCGAUCUGGUAAUGGGUCGUGGAGGUAUCGGAAGUGCGAAUGCAGACAUGAGUAGCGAUUAACAGUGUGAGAUGCACUGUCGCCGAAAUUCCAAGGGUUCCUGCUUAAAGCUAAUCUGAGCAGGGUAAGCCGGCCCCUAAGACGAGCCCGAAGGGGGUAGUCGAUGGGAACCACGUUAAUAUUCGUGGGCCUGGAGGUGUGUGACGGAUGCCGUAACUGGUCUGGGCUUAUUGGAUUGCUCCAGGCUGGGAAGGUGUCCCAGGAAAUAGCCCCUCCGUAUAGACCGUACCCUAAACCGACACAGGUGGAAUGGUAGAGUAUACCAAGGCGUUUGAGAGAAGUAUCCUGAAGGAACUCGGCAAAUUGCCUCCGUACCUUCGGAAGAAGGAGGCCCCAUAUAAGCGCAAGCUCUUAUGGGGGGCACAGGCCAGGGGGUAGCGACUGUUUAGCAAAAACACAGGGCUCUGCUAAGUCGGCUUCAAGACGACGUAUAGGGCCUGACGCCUGCCCGGUGCCUGAAGGUUAAGAGGAGGUGUGCAAGCACUGAAUUGAAGCCCAGGUAAACGGCGGCCGUAACUAUAACGGUCCUAAGGUAGCGAAAUUCCUUGUCGGGUAAGUUCCGACCUGCACGAAUGGCGUAACGACUUCCCCACUGUCUCCAGGAUAUGCUCAGCGAAAUUGAAUUCUCCGUGAAGAUGCGGAGUACCCGCGGUUAGACGGAAAGACCCCGUGCACCUUUACUGCAACUUCAGAGUGGCAUUAGGAAAGAGCUGUGUAGCAUAGGUGGGGAUUGAGUMAGCUUCGACGCCAGUUGAUGUGGAGCCAUAGGUGAAAUACCACCCUGCUGUUUUCUGAUGUCUACCUCGUACCGUUAUCCGGUACAGGGACCCUCUGUGGUGGGUAGUUUGACUGGGGCGGUCGCUCCUAACGAAGUAACGAGGCGCGCGAUGGUGGGCUCAGGACGGUUGGAAACCGUCUGUUAGAGUGCAAUGGCAUAAGCCCGCCUGACUGCGAGACUGACAAGUCGAGCAGAGACGAAAGUCGGUCAUAGUGAUCCGGUGGUCCCUCGUGGAAGGGCCAUCGCUCAACGGAUAAAAGGUACGCCGGGGGAUAACAGGCUGAUGAUUCCCAAGAGCUCAUAUCGACGGAAUCGUUUGGCACCUCGAUGUCGGCUCAUCACAUCCUGGGGCUGGAGCAGGUCCCAAGGGUUUGGCUGUUCGCCAAUUAAAGUGGUACGUGAGCUGGGUUCAGAACGUCGCGAGACAGUUUGGUCCCUAUCUGCCGUGGGCGUCGAAAUUUGAGAGGAGUUGACCCUAGUACGAGAGGACCGGGUUGAACAUACCUCUGGUGUACCAGUCGUUCCGCCAGGAGCGCAGCUGGGUAGCUAUGUAUGGACGGGAUAACCGCUGAAAGCAUCUAAGCGGGAAGCCUCCCUCAAGAUAAGAUUUCAUCGAGCCGUCGUAGACACGACGUUGAUAGGCUGGAUGUGGAAGUGGAGUAAUCCAUGAAGCUAACCAGUCCUAAUUGCUCUGUUCGCGCUUAA
rfam:Sphingobium sp. Ant17 Contig_1980, whole genome shotgun sequence.